GUUCGGAUUGUAGUCUGCAACUCGACUACAUGAAGCUGGAAUCGCUAGUAAUCGCGAAUCAGAAUGUCGCGGUGAAUACGUUCCCGGGUCUUGUACACACCGCCCGUCACACCAUGGGAGUCGGAAACGCCCGAAGCCAGUGACCCAACCUGAGAAGGAGGGAGCUGUCGAAGGCGGGGCCGGUAACUGGGGUGAAGUCGUAACAAGGUAGC
rnacentral:rRNA from 1 species